GUGUACUCCUUCUUCCAAAAAAUUGGCAGAUUCACAAGAGACUUCAAUUAAUCCAAGAACUGGCAUUUAUGAGGAAUUUUCUGUGGUUAUGAUACGAAUACAAUCAUCCUCAACCAACAUAAUGAGUCACAUCGCAUUCAUGAAAUUUUGCAUGUAUACAAAUACUGAAGUCACCUAGUGUAAUGACGUCCACCAACUUGUUGAAGAUACUGGUAAAAUAUAUAAUAGUUGAUAUUAACAUUUCUCUUCAAAACUCAAGACUCAAAUGAGUACCUGACACUUAGUUAUUGCCAGAGAGUUGCAGUCAUUGUAUUGUUUAAAACUUGGAUAUACAACUCAGACAAUUCAAGGCAUGAAAAUAGCCUACUCGUGCAAUAUUGCAUUAUAUUAACUCUCAGGAAAAUUUAUUUAGUGAAUGUAUACAUAGAUAUUUGUAUAGAAUUUUUACUGUAUAGUAUGUGCAUUAUUUAUAUCCAUGUUUAAUAUGUAAACAUACAUUUAUGUAAUAUAGAACUGCUAGUCAAUAUUUGUACAAAAAUACUUUCAAGAAGAAACAUUAUGUCCAACCAAGUGUAUGAAAUAGGUUGGUGAGUGAGUUUUAUUUUAAAAGAUAUACGGUCAUUUCAGCUCAAAUUGACAAUGAAAAAAUUAUGUCACUUAAAAAAUGUACAUGAAUGUCCACUUAAAUAUGAUAAAUUAUAAUUUUGCGUUAUCUUUGAAAUCAUAGUAAAUGCUUAUCAGUUGUUAAUGAAAUAAAUCACUGUUAUAAUUACAAAUAACAUAUAGCAGUAUAUAAUUUUUUAAGACAAAGUGAAUUAAGAUUUAUUUUCAUUCAUAUGUUGAAGUUUUUAAUAUAGAUCUGUGACUAGUAUUAUACAACAGCUUAUCAAGUUGUGUUUCUAUUCAAAGUUACAAAAGUAUUGUUUUCUAAUAUGUUUUUGCUCACCUUUUAUUUUUUAGAAAAAAGAGGUACUGUUACAGUCAUGUAGGCGUUGUCGUCCGCAAACUUGUACCUUGAUCAGAACUUUUAAAUUUCUUAGUGUAUUGUCUUCAGGGCUACAGAUAGCAUUUUGUUUAUAUAUAUCGGGUGAUUACCCCUAGUUUUGUGAUCUAUUGGGUUUUUUAUAUUUUUAACCAGGUUUUCAAUUUUGAAAAUCCUGGUUAUUAGAUUGGGGUAUGGCGGGCGGAUGGGCGGAUGGGCGGAUGGGCGGCUGGGCGGAUGGGCGGCUGGGCGGAUGGGCGGGCGGGCGUCAAACGAAAUUGUGUCCGCUCUGUAACUCUUCAACCCUUUGAAGAAUUUUGAUGAAACUUCAGACAAAUGUUUACCACAUCAAGAUGACGUGCAGAACGCAUGUUCCGCAUGGCUGGCUCCAAGGUCAAGGUCACAGUGACAUUAACAUUGAAAAUCCUGUCCGCUCUGUAACUCUUCAACCCUUUGAAGAAUUUUGAUGAAACUUCAGACAAAUGUUUACCACAUCAAGAUGACGUGCAGAACGCAUGUUCCGCAUGGCUGGCUCCAAGGUCAAGGUCACAGUGACAUUAACAUUGAAAAUCCUGUCCGCUCUGUAACUCUUCAACCCUUUGAAGAAUUUUGAUGAAACUUCAGACAAAUGUUUACCACAUCAAGAUGACGUGCAGAACGCAUGUUCCGCAUGGCUGGCUCCAAGGUCAAGGUCACAGUGACAUUAACAUUGAAAAUCCUGUUUACAUGAUUUUAACUUGAUUUGGCAGUCAAAGGUCAUAUCAUCUUUGGAGGUAAUUUAAAAAAGAUAUGAUAUAUUAUUUCAUGUCUACUUUGUAACUUGUUUUUCAUUAUACAGAAUUAUCAAUAUAAUUAUAGUGAACAAAUUCUUCUGUGCUGAACUCGUCCUACAUUUCUCAACGGAUUUUGUUCAAACUUUCACAGAAGCUUUGUCAUCAAGCACCCUGGCACAUAUUGUCGGGGUUUUGUGAUUGGAUAGUUUUUGACCUAAUUAUGGCCCUUUGUUUUUUUCCUUAUACAUAAUAUUAUAGUGAACACUUCUUCAGUGGCAAUUCCUCCUACAUUAUUCAUGUUUUACAUUGCACAUAGUUACAUUGUUUGUUGCUUGUAUUUGUAUUUCAAAUACAACAUAUUUAUCUACAAUGGUGAUAAUUGAAAACCUGGUUUCAUGGCAUUGCCAUGUUUCUUGUCUUAGAGUUAUUUCUGUAUUUUUUACCCUACCAUCUCUAACCAAUUUGGGUUUUAAACCACAAGUUCAUGUAUUUUACCCAAAAUUUCUGACCUUCAUUGUAGACUGUUGUAGGUUUGUAUGGUAAUAAAAAAGCUACUUACUACUAUGCUUUAUGGUUUAUUGGCCCAGGAGAUUUCCAAGCUGCCUGAUAUGAUUUAAAGGUUAAAACAGUCUGAAACAGUAUGAUCUGCCUGAUGUACAGCAUUAAGUAUAACUUCCGUCUUUUCCCACCAGUUCCAAUGUAGUUAUAAAUAAAAAAUUAUUUACUUUUUCUUACCCUUAGGUAUUAUUUCUAUUGCUUUUUUUGACAUUUUAAUUGGGUAAUUACGCAAAUACGCAUGUUAUCUGCAGCUCUGGACUGACUCUUCAUACUUGGCCACAACACCUCUAGAUACACAACCUUUCAGUAGACUAGACUUACCUUGACCUUUGUUCAUAAAUGACAUUGACCUUCAAGGUCAAAUGUAAAAAAAGUUGCUUGUUUCUUGCUAUAAGCUGGUGGCUAUAACUUCAAACUUGAACAUAAUAAUCUUUUAAGAUAGCCCUUUCAGUUAACCAGACAUACUUUGACCUUCACUCGUGAAUGACCUAGACUUUGAAGGGCAAAUUAAUUAUUUAUUGCUGUAACUGACUGCAACUUUGUUAAUAUUGAAAUGAUUGACUUCAUAUUAUUAUUACUAAACAUUCUUUAGGAUAAGACCUUUCAAACUCAAAUUAACCUUGGCUCUUUAAUAACAUUGGCCUUGAAGGCUAACUGAUUUUUGCUAUAAUUUUAUGUUACAAUGUACUAUGUAAUUAAUCCACAGAUUUUUAGAUUAUUAAAUUAAAUAAUUUACAUAUGGCCUUGACCUUUAGGUAACCUUGGCUGUCAAAUGAUUGAUUGAUUGAAUGAUUGACUUUUGAUUAUAUUUUCUUAACAUUGUCGUUUAUUAAUGGAAAAGAUUCAUACUAAGCUAACUAGACAGACCUAUAAAAUAUAUAAAAAGGAAAUUACACUAAACUUCUUUUUUUAAGACUCAAGAGAAGUUUAAGCCGUUUAUUUUGUUUGCUUUUAGAAACAGAAAUGAGCUGGGGCACUUUAGACAGAAAUAUAUGCAAAGAUAGUUAAGAAAUAUAUUUUGAAAUAAUUUAAAAUCGUAUUUUUCUUAGUCCGUUUGGAGUGAAAAGCGUUUAAACGCUUUUCAUGUUGGGUCAUUUAUUUACAAUGUGAAUAAUUAUUCUGGAAAAACGAAGUGGGCGAUUGAUCUGAAAUUUUGCAAAAAGAUUAGAGGUCUAAACCUACAUCAAAUGGUACAUUUAUAUGGAAAAGAAUUUCAGUCCAAUCAUAUUAAAAAAACCUCAGUGGAGUCCCUUUAAUGUUUUUGUAGAAUGUAUGUAUAAUAUUUAUAUUUGUGGGCAUAGUUUAAUGCAAGAUUUGUAUUUGUGUACAUAGACAAAUGUAAUAUUUGUAUUUGUGUAUUUAAUUUUAAUAAGAUUUAUAUUUGUGUACAUAUUAUUUACUAUAUUGUAUAAGAUUUGUGUUGUGUACAUAAUGAUUUAUAGAAGAUUUGUAUUUGUUUGCUUUAUUUUCUUUAAGAUUUGUAUUUGUGUACAUAUUAUUUGCUAUAUUGUAUAACAUUUGUGUUGUGUACAUAAUGAUUUAUAGAAGAUUUGUAUUUGUUUUCUUUAUUUUAUUUAAUAUUUUUAUUUGUGUUCAUAUUAUUUACUACAUUGUAUAAGAUUUGUAUUGUGUACAUGCUUUGCAGGAGGUUUGUUUUUUGUGUGGUCGAUUUUCUAUAAAAUGUAUAUUUGUGUAAAUAGCUUACUAUUUGAUUACCAUUAGUAUUUUCUAUAUUAUUUACUAUCAGACAGGGACUUUGAGUUCUUACAUGUAAGGAAGCUAUCCAGCUAGCUUAUGAAAUGCCGGUGAUUCUACUCAGGUGCCUAUUUGUGCCUGAUACAAUUAGCAAAAGGGCACCUGAGUUCUUCCUCUUCCAGUAAGACUGGACAUAUACUGAGUUGGUGUGCCGUAAAACCCAAACAAACAAACAAACAAACACUUUUUACUAUAAAACUUUUAUAUUUAUGUCCAUGAUUUUACAUUUACUCUCAGUUUUGUAUUUGUUUACGUGACUAUCUAUAAUAUUUAUAUGUGCGAAUAAGAUUUUCUACAUGAAUAUGAUUCCUAUAUUUGUGUACAUGAUUUACUUUAGGAUUUGCAUUUGUCUAUAAUUAUUAUUUACUGUACAUAUUUUACCAUGAAAGUGAAAGGUCAUGAGAUUUUACCAUGAAAGUGAAAGGUCAUGUAAAUUAUAAGGAGAAUUGCUGCUAUAUUAACCAUUUAAAAUAUGUAGUUACUUAUAUGAUGUUUUAACGUUUUACACCUUAACCUGCGCUCAAACAUAGUUGACAGAACCUUAUGGAACUCAGUAAGAACAAUCUUUGUGUGGACCAUAUGAAAUUAAUUGUUUUGGUCUGUUUAACAUUAUAUAAAAUAUAUUUAAACUUUCAAUCGAUUUUUGUGCACCCACAAUUUAGAUUUACCCUUGUCCGUCCGUCCUUCCGUCCGUCUGUUCACUUUUGUGUUGCACGUAACUCAAAAAGUGUUUGACCUAGAGUCAUGAAACUUACAGGAAUGUUGAUCAGCAUGUGUAGUUGUGCACCUGACUAUUUUCGUCUGGAUAGUAUUAGUAUUUUCAGAGUAAUUGCCCUUGACUUAGUAAAAUUUUGUAUUUUUCAACUUGUGUCACAUGUUUCUCAAAAAGGAUUUGACAUAGAGUCAUGAAACUUAACAGGAAUGUUGAUCAGCAUAUGUAGUUGUGCACCUGGGUAUUUUUGUCUGGAUUCAUUAAGUAUUUUUAGAGUUAUUGCCCUUGAUUUAGAAAAGUUUUGCAAUUUUCAACUUGUGUCGUAUGAUACUCGAAAAGUAUUUGACAUAGAGUCAUUAAACCUUAUGGGAAGGUUGCACAUUAUAUUUAGUUUUGCACCUGGGGUUUUGCUUGUGGAUUUAUCCAGUAUUUGUAGAGUUAUUGCCCUUGACUUAGUAAAAUUUUGCAAUUUUCAACUUGUGUCGCAUGUAACUCAAAAAAUAUUUGACCUAGAGUCAUGAAACUUGACAGGAAUGUUGAUCAGCAUGUGUUGUUGUGCACCUGAGCAUUUUCGUCUGGAUAUUACGGGAAGGUUGUACAUUAUAUUAAGUUUUGCACCUGGGGUUUUGCUUGUGGAUUUAUCCAGUAUUUGUAGAGUUAUUACCCUUGACUUAGUAAAAACCGUUUCAUUAUGUUGUACUUAUGCACCUUGGGGUUUGCACGUGGAUUUAUUCAGUAUUUGUAAAGUUCUUGUCCUUUAAUUAGUAAAAGAUUUUUAGUUUUCAAAAGAUAUUUGCUCUUGAGUCAUAAGAUUGACAGAACAGUGGCGCGGUGGGGGCACCCGUGCCCUAUGGACACAUUUCUAGUUAUAUUAAUACCGUACAUUUUACCACGAAAAAUAGUAUGUAAUAUAAACUUUCCUGUAAUAAUCCUCCUUAAAAAUGUGUAAUAAUUCUCUGAAAUGAUAAAAACAAUAUGUUGUGUUUGUCAUACUAAAGUUAAAUUAUGUUUCCCAAAUUUUUUGGAAGUCAUAUUGUUUUUGCCAACGCCAUGUGUCUGUCCGUCCGCAUUAAGCUCGUCCGGCCUUCACAGGUCAGACUACUUGUGGGAUUUCAACCAAACUUUACAGGAGUGAUUAGUACCAUCAUAUAGCUUUGGAUAGAAAAACCUUGUCCGGCUUUCACAGUUCAAGCUACUAAUGGGAUUCAAAUAAAACUUCACAUACUGAUCAUACAUAGUUUUGGGUGACAUAUGUUUUUGUGACAAAAACCCUUCUAGUUUUAAUUAAACUCAUUAGGAAUAAUUAUUGGACAUCGUAUACGAAAUAAUUAAAAACAAGAUUGCUGCAUUAGUUAAAUAAUGAUAAGAACAUCUUCCAGUUGGCAUAGCUUGUUUUACCAUUUGGUAGUUUAAUGAACUUUAAUAGGAAAUAUCAUUGAAGAUUUAUUUAUAACAAAUAGCUAGACUCCUUUUGUUCUGCUAAAUGAUGAAAAAUCCGGCAAACUGAAAAGUUCUAUCGUUUAUACAACAUUUGGUAAUUAACAAUUGCACAGACUUUGAUAUAACUAAAGAGAAUACUUUUCUUUUGUUAUUUUAACAUAAAUAAAUGGUUUGAAAUGGAUCAUGUUGUCUACCAGACCUUAAAGUACAACAUUGUUUCCCAAAUGAUUGAAAUCACUUAGAAGUUUUCGUUGAGACUAGAAACAAAAAUGAUUCUUGGAAUGUAUUGUACAAAACAGGUUAUUAUUUGUACUUUUGUUCAAAACAGUUAGCAAAUGUAUUGUACAAAAACAGUAAACAAGUGUACUGUCUGCUGAGGGAAAGUACUUUCCUCUUGAGUGGGUGACUCGGGUUGGAAAUUAAUUAUUGAACUAUUAUUGUAUUGUUGCUGGAGUAAAAAAUGAUUUUUUUUUUCCUUGACAUAAGAUAUCCAAAUUUUAUUGUAUUUUAUUAUUAUCAUAAUUAUUAUGAAUAAAGACAUAUGAUUUUGUAUGUUUGCAUAAUGAUUGUUUUAAGAAAUUAUAUGUAAUAAAUCAAUAAAUCAGUGUUGACACAA